rnacentral:ncRNA from 1 species
UACCUUCGCAGCGCUUUUGGUUCCCGAUAGGAAUUAACCUAUCUGGAUUAAAAGGGAAUACGGUGUAAUUCCGUAACUGUCCCGCAGCUGUAAGCUCUAUAACGGUAUUCAAAUCGAAGCCACUUUUCUAAACCUUUAACAAGGGGACGAUUGGGAAGGCAGAAUAUCCGGGAGUAAGUCAGAAGACCUGCCAUUCGCUUUUAUGAUUU